rnacentral:rRNA from 1 species
GGGUUGUGAGGUUAAGCGAAUAAGCGUACACGGUGGAUGCCUAGGCAAUCAGAGGCGAUGAAGGACGUGCUAAUCUGCGAAAAGCGUCGGUAAGGUGAUAUGAACCGUUAUACCCGACGAUAUCCGAAUGGGGAAACCCAGUAUCCAAUGGAUACUAUCAUUAACUGAAUCCAUAGGUUAAUGAGGCGAACCGGGAGAACUGAAACAUCUCAGUACCCCGAGGAAAAGAAAUCAACCGAGAUUCCCCUAGUAGCGGCGAGCGAACGGGGAGCAGCCCAGAGUCUUAAUCAAUAGCAGUGUCAGGAGAACGGUCUGGAAAGUCCGGCAGUAAAGGGUGAUAGCCCCGUAUCUGAAGAUGCUGUUAUUGUGAACUCGACGAGUAGGGCGGGACACGUGUUAUCCUGUCUGAAUAUGGGGGGACCAUCCUCCAAGGCUAAAUACUCCUGAUUGACCGAUAGUGAACCAGUACCGUGAGGGAAAGGCGAAAAGAACCCCGGCGAGGGGAGUGAAAAAGAACCUGAAACCGUGUACGUACAAGCAGUAGGAGCCUCUUUAUGGGGUGACUGCGUACCUUUUGUAUAAUGGGUCAGCGACUUAUAUUCUGUAGCAAGGUUAACCGUAUAGGGGAGCCGUAGGGAAACCGAGUCUUAACUGGGCGAAUGAGUUGCAGGGUAUAGACCCGAAACCCGGUGAUCUAUCCAUGGGCAGGUUGAAGGUUGGGUAACACUAACUGGAGGACCGAACCGACUAAUGUUGAAAAAUUAGCGGAUGACUUGUGGAUGGGGGUGAAAGGCCAAUCAAACCGGGAGAUAGCUGGUUCUCCCCGAAAGCUAUUUAGGUAGCGCCUCGUGAACUCAUCUUCGGGGGUAGAGCACUGUUUCGACUAGGGGGUCAUCCCGACUUACCAACUCGAUGCAAACUGCGAAUACCGAAGAAUGUUAUCACGGGAGACACACGGCGGGUGCUAACGUCCGUCGUGAAGAGGGAAACAACCCAGACCGCCAGCUAAGGUCCCAAAGUCAUGGUUAAGUGGGAAACGAAGUGGGAAGGCUCAGACAGCCAGGAUGUUGGCUUAGAAGCAGCCAUCAUUUAAAGAAAGCGUAAUAGCUCACUGGUCGAGUCGGCCCGCGCGGAAGAUGUAACGGGGCUAAACCAUGCACCGAAGCUGCGGCAGCGACACAAAGUGUUGUUGGGUAGGGGAGCGUUCUGUAAGCCUGCGAAGGUGUACUGUGAGGUAUGCUGGAGGUAUCAGAAGUGCGAAUGCUGACAUAAGUAACGAUAAUGCGGGUGAAAAACCCGCACGCCGGAAGACCAAGGGUUCCUGUCCAACGUUAAUCGGGGCAGGGUGAGUCGACCCCUAAGGCGAGGCUGAAAAGCGUAGUCGAUGGGAAACGGGUUAAUAUUCCCGUACUGGUGGUAACUGCGAUGGGGGAACGGAGAAGGCUAGGUUGUCCGGGCGACGGUCGUCCCGGUUCAAGCAGGUAGGCAGAGUGAUUAGGCAAAUCCGGUCACUUAAUGCUGAGAUGUGAUGACGAACCACCAAGGUGGUGAAGCAAUUGAUGCCCCGCUUCCAGGAAAAGCCUCUAAGCUUCAGGUUACCAACAAUCGUACCCCAAACCGACACAGGUGGUCAGGUAGAGAAUACUCAGGCGCUUGAGAGAACUCGGGUGAAGGAACUAGGCAAAAUGGUGCCGUAACUUCGGGAGAAGGCACGCUGGCGGUAGGUAAAGUCCCUCGCGGACGGCGCUGAAGCCAGUCGAAGAUACCAGCUGGCUGCAACUGUUUAUUAAAAACACAGCACUGUGCAAACACGAAAGUGGACGUAUACGGUGUGACGCCUGCCCGGUGCUGGAAGGUUAAUUGAUGGGGUCAGCCGUAAGGCGAAGCUCCUGAUCGAAGCCCCAGUAAACGGCGGCCGUAACUAUAACGGUCCUAAGGUAGCGAAAUUCCUUGUCGGGUAAGUUCCGACCUGCACGAAUGGCGUAAUGAUGGCCAGGCUGUCUCCACCCGAGACUCAGUGAAAUUGAACUCGCUGUGAAGAUGCAGUGUACCCGCGGCAAGACGGAAAGACCCCGUGAACCUUUACUAUAGCUUGACACUGAACAUUGAGCCUUGAUGUGUAGGAUAGGUGGGAGGCUUUGAAGUGUGGACGCCAGUCUGCAUGGAGCCAACCUUGAAAUACCACCCUUUAACGUUUGAUGUUCUAACCUAGGCCCAUAAACUGGGUCGGGGACCGUGUCUGGUGGGUAGUUUGACUGGGGCGGUCUCCUCCUAAAGAGUAACGGAGGAGCACGAAGGUUGGCUAAGCAUGGUCGGACAUCAUGCGGUUAGUGCAAAGGCAUAAGCCAGCUUGACUGCGAGAGUGACGGCUCGAGCAGGUACGAAAGUAGGUCUUAGUGAUCCGGUGGUUCUGAAUGGAAGGGCCAUCGCUCAACGGAUAAAAGGUACUCCGGGGAUAACAGGCUGAUACCGCCCAAGAGUUCAUAUCGACGGCGGUGUUUGGCACCUCGAUGUCGGCUCAUCACAUCCUGGGGCUGAAGUAGGUCCCAAGGGUAUGGCUGUUCGCCAUUUAAAGUGGUACGCGAGCUGGGUUUAGAACGUCGUGAGACAGUUCGGUCCCUAUCUGCCGUGGGCGUUGGAAGAUUGAGAGGGGUUGCUCCUAGUACGAGAGGACCGGAGUGAACGCACCACUGGUGUUCGGGUUGUCAUGCCAAUGGCAUUGCCCGGUAGCUAAGUGCGGAAGAGAUAACCGCUGAAAGCAUCUAAGCGGGAAACUUGCCUCGAGAUGAGUCUUCCCUGUCGCUUUAAGUGACCUAAAGGAACGUUUAAGACUAAGACGUUGAUAGGCUGGGUGUGUAAGCGUAGCGAUACGUUGAGCUAACCAGUACUAAUGAACCGUGAGGCUUAACCUGACAACACCGAAAGUGUUUUG